CCGGGGCAAGACCCGUGAGAAGGCGGCGAGCUGCCCUUUCGUUUCUCCCGACCCGUUUCACUAUUGCAGAAGUGCGGCAAAGGGCCGGCUGAGCGCGGUGCAGCGCCCGGAGCCCGAAAUAGCGCGGAGCCUAGCGGCCAGGAUGACGCGGGAGCCGCCGGGGUCUGAGUCACCCGGCCCCGAGCGGCGGCCCCCGGAUGCGGGACAGUGGAGGCGCUGGACCCGACCACGCCCCAUCCCGGGCACCUCUUCUGCUGGGGCGUCCCAAGUUUCCACGGAGCACUGUGGAUGGAUAUGCAGCAAAAGGAGGAUCUGCAGCACAAGAGACUGAGGUCCCAUGGCCCCAGAGGUGUUCAGUUCCCAGGAUUCUGUCUCUAGGCCCUACAAAACCUAAAGUGUUCAAUGCAACCUGCAAAAUAUCACAACAGACUGAGCACCCAAGCAGAGGUGAAGACCCAGUUAUCUUCUGUUGAGCCAAACAUUAAAGUGGGGGACUUCCCUGGUGGCGCAGUGGUUAAGAAUCCGCCUGGCAAUGCAGGGGACACGGGUUCGAGCCCUGGUCCGGGAAGAUUCCACAUGCCAGGCAGCAACUAAGCCCGUGUGCCACAACUACUGAGCCCACAUGCCACAACUACUGAAGCCCGUGCACCUAGAGCCCGUGCUCCACAACGAGAAGCCACUGCAAUGAGAAGCCCGCGCACCACAACGAAGAGUAGCCCCCACUCACUGCAACUAGAGAAAGCUCACACACAGCAACAAAGAUCCAAUGCAGCCAAAAAAUAAAUUAAUUUUUUAAAAA